rnacentral:rRNA from 1 species
AUUGAACGCUGGCGGCAGGCCUAACACAUGCAAGUCGAGCGGCAGCGGAAAGUAGCUUGCUACUUUGCCGGCGAGCGGCGGACGGGUGAGUAAUGUCUGGGGAACUGCCUGAUGGAGGGGGAUAACUACUGGAAACGGUAGCUAAUACCGCAUAACGUCGCAAGACCAAAGAGGGGGACCUUCGGGCCUCUUGCCAUCAGAUGUGCCCAGAUGGGAUUAGCUAGUAGGUGGGGUAACGGCUCACCUAGGCGACGAUCCCUAGCUGGUCUGAGGGGAUGACCAGCCACACUGGAACUGAGACACGGUCCAGACUCCUACGGGAGGCAGCAGUGGGGAAUAUUGCACAAUGGGCGCAAGCCUGAUGCAGCCAUGCCGCGUGUAUGAAGAAGGCCUUCGGGUUGUAAAGUACUUUCAGCGGGGAGGAAGGUGUUGAGGUUAAUAACCUCAGCAAUUGACGUUACCCGCAGAAGAAGCACCGGCUAACUCCGUGCCAGCCGCCGCAGUAAAAC